rnacentral:rRNA from 1 species
UACAGAGGUCUCAAGCGUUGUUCGGAUUCAUUGGGCGUAAAGGGUGCGUAGGCGGCGCGGUAAGUCGGGUGUGAAAUCUCGGGGCUUAACUCCGAAACUGCAUUCGAUACUGCCGUGCUUGAGGACUGGAGAGGAGACUGGAAUUCCCAGUGUAGCGGUGAAAUGCGUAGAUAUUGGGAGGAACACCAGUGGCGAAGGCGGCUCACUGGACCGGUACUGACGCUGAUGCGCGAAAGCGUGGGGAGCAAACGGG